CGGGACGGGUGAGUAACGCGUGGGGAACCUGCCCUGUACAGGGGGAUAACACUUAGAAAUAGGUGCUAAUACCGCAUAAGCGCACAGUAUCGCAUGAUACAGUGUGAAAAACUCCGGUGGUACAGGAUGGACCCGCGUCUGAUUAGCUGGUUGGCGGGGUAACGGCCCACCAAGGCGACGAUCAGUAGCCGGCCUGAGAGGGUGAACGGCCACAUUGGGACUGAGACACGGCCCAGACUCCUACGGAAGGCAGCAG
rnacentral:rRNA from 1 species